rnacentral:rRNA from 1 species
UACGUAGGGCGCAAGCGUUAUCCGGAAUCAUUGGGCGUAAAGAGCGUGUAGGCGGUCCGGUAAGUCCGCUGUGAAAGUCGGGGGCUCAACCCUCGAAUGCCGGUGGAUACUGUCGGGCUAGAGUGCGGAAGAGGCGAGUGGAAUUCCUGGUGUAGCGGUGAAAUGCGCAGAUAUCAGGAGGAACACCUAUUGCGAAGGCAGCUCGCUGGGACGGUACUGACGCUGAGGCGCGAAAGCGUGGGGAGCGAACAGG